rnacentral:rRNA from 1 species
CAGCCGCCGCGGUAAUACCGGCGGCCCGAGUGGCGGUCACUAUUAUUGGGCUUAAAGCGUCCGUAGCCGGGGUGGGAAGUCCUCCGGGAAAUCUGGCCGCUUAACGGUCAGAAUGCCGGAGGAUACUCCCAGCCUAGGGAGCGGGGGAGGCCGAGGGGAUUCCCGGAGUAGGGGGGAAAUACUAUAAUCCCGGGAGGACCACCUGUGGCGAAGGCGCUCGGCUGGAACGCGUCCGACGGUGAGGGACGAAGGCCAGGGGAGCAAACCGGAUUAGAUACCCGGGUAGUCCUGGCUGUAAACGAUGCGGACUUUGUGUCGGACAAGCUAUGAGCUUGUCCGGUGCCGGAGGGAAACCGUUAAGUCCGCCGCCUGGGGAGUACGGCCGCAAGGCUGAAACUUAAAGGAAUUGGCGGG